UAAUACGUAGGUCGCAAGCGUUGUCCGGAUUUACUGGGCGUAAAGAGCGCGCAGGCGGCUGGUCAAGUCCGAUGUGAAAUCUCCCGGCUUAACUGGGAAACUGCAUCGGAAACUGAUCGGCUUGAAGGUGGGAGAGGGUAGUGGAAUUCCCGGUGUAGUGGUGAAAUGCGUAGAUAUCGGGAGGAACACCAGUGGCGAAGGCGACUACCUGGCCCAUUCUUGACGCUGAGGCGCGAAAGCUAGGGGAGCGAACGGGAUUAGAUACCCCGGUAGUCCUAGCCGUAAACGAUGGAUACUCGACAUCAGCGAUACACUGUUGGUGUCUGAGCGAAAGCAUUAAGUAUCCCACCUGGGAAGUACGACCGCAAGGUUG
rnacentral:rRNA from 1 species